rnacentral:rRNA from 1 species
AACGACGCUGGCGGCAUGCCUAACACAUGCAAGUCGAACGAAGCCUUCGGGCUUAGUGGCGCACGGGUGCGUAACGCGUGGGAAUCUGCCCUUAGGUACGGAAUAACUCAUGGAAACGUGUGCUAAUACCGUAUGAUGUCUUCGGACCAAAGAUUUAUCGCCUAGGGAUGAGCCCGCGUUGGAUUAGCUAGUUGGUGAGGUAAAGGCUCACCAAGGCGACGAUCCAUAGCUGGUCUGAGAGGAUGAUCAGCCACACUGGGACUGAGACACGGCCCAGACUCCUACGGGAGGCAGCAGUGGGGAAUAUUGGACAAUGGGCGAAAGCCUGAUCCAGCAAUGCCGCGUGAGUGAAGAAGGCCUUCGGGUUGUAAAGCUCUUUUACCCGGGAAGAUAAUGACUGUACCGGGAGAAUAAGCCCCGGCUAACUCCGUG